rnacentral:rRNA from 1 species
UGGGGAAUAUUGGACAAUGGGGGCAACCCUGAUCCAGCAAUGCCGCGUGAGUGAAGAAGGCCUUCGGGUUGUAAAGCUCUUUUGUCAGGGAAGAAACGGUAGUAGCGAAUAACUAUUACUAAUGACGGUACCUGAAGAAUAAGCACCGGCUAACUACGUGCCAGCAGCCGCGGUAAUACGUAGGGUGCAAGCGUUAAUCGGAAUUACUGGGCGUAAAGCGUGCGCAGGCGGUUGUGUAAGUCAGAUGUGAAAUCCCCGGGCUCAACCUGGGAAUUGCAUUUGAGACUGCACGGCUAGAGUGUGUCAGAGGGGGGUAGAAUUCCACGUGUAGCAGUGAAAUGCGUAGAUAUGUGGAGGAAUACCGAUGGCGAAGGCAGCCCCCUGGGAUAACACUGACGCUCAUGCACGAAAGCGUGGGGAGCAAACAGGAUUAGAUACCCCCGUAGUCCCUGAGCGGGCUGGCAAGGCGCAU